rnacentral:rRNA from 1 species
UACGUAGGGGGCGAGCGUUAUCCGGAAUUACUGGGCGUAAAGGGCGCGCAGGCGGCUCAUUUUGUCAGGCGUGAAAGCCCCGGGCUUAACCUGGGAACUGCGUUUGAUACGGAUGGGCUAGAGUUCGGGAGAGGAGAGUGGAAUUCCCAGUGUAGAGGUGAAAUUCGUAGAUAUUGGGAAGAACACCGGUGGCGAAGGCGGCUCUCUGGACCGAUACUGACGCUGAGGCGCGAAAGCGUGGGGAGCAAACAGG